GUCACCACUUUGCCCUCCCUGCUCCCCUUCCCCUAUUUAAUGGGACCCAGGAAAGGCUGAAGCCUCAAGCUUGCCCAAUUGGGCAGAGGGAUCCUUCUCCCAUCAGGACUGGUGCUGGUUUUGCUUCCUUAUUUUAUCUCUUAGAAUCAACCAGGGACAGCGUCUUCCCUACCUACCUGGGCAGCCCAUUCCAAUGGCAGAUGCCACAUAGGGAAGAAAAAAGAGAGGAAAAAAAAUCACCUGUCCUGGAUCCAGUGUCAGACCUGCCAGAGAGGACUAUGACAUUCACUUUAGGGACUCCUGAAGACUGUCUGCUUCUCAGGCUGAAUGAAGGAGCAGAAGGCUUGUGAAAGGAACCAAGCUUCUGUAAGCACUGAUUAUUUUUUCAUCACAAAUAAACUCCUUGACUUCCAGACAAUUUACUGUUAAAAAUGCUGUACAAGCUGAGAUCUAUCUAUGAGAGGUCAGAAGAGGUCUACAGUCAUAAGUCAAAACCAUUUCAUCUACUGACUUCUGCUGAAGGGAUAUGCAGUGCCUGUAUAUUGUCAUGCAUGUCCUACACAGGAACAAUUCACCCAAACAUUCUGUCCCCAUUGCCAUUGAAAAGACAGAAAAUGACAUUUCUGGACACAUUUGAUGUAUUUAAUAAUAAUCAUAAUAAUGUGAUAUUAAAGUGAUUAUAGGCUCCUAUUCACACUGGUUGAUGUUCACCCUCUGGCCUUGCCAAAAAGUCCCUUCUAUAUGAAAUCAAUUAUUCUCUGAACUUUGAACACAUCUAGCAGGACUGACAUGUAGAGUCACAGCUUGAGUGUUUUUACUUGGAGUUCAGGUGGAAGGUAAAUACUGAUGAAUAAGUAUUAAAAACAGAUGCACCUCCUUGGUUUGAGUCUUUUGGUUCAC